GAUGAACGCUGGCGGCGUGCCUAAUACAUGCAAGUCGAGCGAACAGACGAGGAGCUUGCCCCUCUGACGUUAGCGGCGGACGGGUGAGUAACACGUGGAUAACCUACCUAUAAGACUGGGAUAACUUCGGGAAACCGGAGCUAAUACCGGAUAAUAUAUUGAACCGCAUGGUUCAAUAGUGAAAGACGGUUUUGCUGUCACUUAUAGAUGGAUCCGCGCCGCAUUAGCUAGUUGGUAAGGUAACGGCUUACCAAGGCAACGAUGCGUAGCCGACCUGAGAGGGUGAUCGGCCACACUGGAACUGAGACACGGUCCAGACUCCUACGGGAGGCAGCAGUAGGGAAUCUUCCGCAAUGGGCGAAAGCUUGACGGAGCAACGCCGCGUGAGUGAUGAAGGUCUUCGGAUCGUAAAACUCUGUUAUUAGGGAAGAACAAAUGUGUAAGUAACUAUGCAUGUCUUGACGGUACCUAAUCAGAAAGCCACGGCUAACUACGUG
rnacentral:rRNA from 1 species